rnacentral:rRNA from 1 species
GAUGAACGCUGACAGAAUGCUCAACACAUGCAAGUCGACUCGAGUCUUCGGACUUGGGUGGCGCACGGGUGAGUAACGCGUAAAGAACUUGCCUCUUAGACCGGGACAACAUCUGGAAACGGAUGCUAAUACCGGAUAUUAUGGUUUUUUCGCAUGGAGGAAUCAUGAAAGCUAGAUGCGCUAAGAGAGAGCUUUGCGUCCCAUCAGCUGGUUGGUGAGGUAACGGCCCACCAAGGCAAUGAUGGGUAGCCGGCCUGAGAGGGUGAACGGCCACAAGGGGACUGAGACACGGCCCUUACUCCUACGGGAGGCAGCAGUGGGGAAUAUUGGACAAUGGACCGUAAGUCUGAUCCAGCAAUUCUGUGUGCACGAUGACGUUUUUCGGAAUGUAAAGUGCUUUCAGUCGGGAAGAAGUCAGUGACGGUAACGACAGAAGAAGCGACGUCUAAAUACGUGCCAGCAGCCGCGGUAUUACGUAUGUCUCAUGCGUUAUCCGGAUUUAUUGGGCGUAAAGCGCGUCUAGGCGGCUAGGAAAUUCUGAUGUGAAAAUGCGUAUCUCAACUCCGUUUGGCGUUGGAAACUGCUUUACUUGAGUACUGGAGAGGUUGUCGGAACUACUUUUGCUGAGGUGAUAUUCGUUAUAUGUUUGUAGGAUUUCUGGUUGUCAUCCAGCCUACUGGUGCUGAUACUGUCUCUUAUCUCGGAAUGUGGUGUAUCAUAUUGUGAUGAUAUCUCCUUGAUAUCCUGUGCUGAAUUCUACUGUGGAUAUCAUGCUGUAUAAUGCUGUCUAUUUCGACUGGUUGAUCACGAAUGCCUGAUUGUGUUGCUCUUAUUGGGUGCUAGUGUGAAUUGUAUUAUGUGGCCCUCCCCACCACCUGCCCUGCUGUGUGUUCUG